UAUACAUGCAGUCGACGAGUUCUCGUUGUAAGAUCGGAGCUUGCACCGAGAUUCAACAUGGAACGAGUGGCGGACGGGUGAGUAACACGUGGGUAACCUGCCCUUAAGUGGGGGAUAACAUUUGGAAACAGAUGCUAAUACCGCAUAAAUCCAAGAACCGCAUGGUUCUUGGCUGAAAGAUGGCGUAAGCUAUCGCUUUUGGAUGGACCCGCGGCGUAUUAGCUAGUUGGUGAGGUAAUGGCUCACCAAGGCGAUGAUACGUAGCCGAACUGAGAGGUUGAUCGGCCACAUUGGGACUGAAACACGGCCCAAACUCCUACGGGAGGCAGCAGUAGGGAAUCUUCCACAAUGGACGCAAGUCUGAUGGAGCAACGCCGCGUGAGUGAAGAAGGCUUUCGGGUCGUAAAACUCUGUUGUUGGAGAAGAAUG
rnacentral:rRNA from 2 species